GGGUUCGAGUCAGAAAGCAAAGCCAGGAGCCAAAGGGGCCAAAGACCCACAGCGCGACAGCCGUGGCCAUCAGCCGAGCCUGCGCAUUAUAUCUGCGUGUUCUACAUCACAAUGGGAACCCAAUGGGCCGGAAUGGCUGCGCUGCCGGAGAGCAGCUAAUAGUGGAGAGUUGAGGCGGAAUGGAGUUAGAGAAGGGGCGUUACCUUCACCGUGGUGAUUGACUGGCGAGAGGACCAAUCAGCUGAUCUCAAGAUUUUUUAAGCACUCAUACCUUUUUUAUUUUUCAUCAAUCAGAAAAAUCCUCGGGCCUGCCUCAGCGGAGGAGGACUGUGAGUAAGAUGGCCCAAAAUCAUAGUGAUGUGUGGUAGCGUGUUUUCUAAAAUCAAUAUACAGCGGAGACAGGAAGUGGUCAAGAUGAGAUAUAUAUAUAUGUUGUUACUACAACAAACUCUCACUCAGCAUCAACAAAGGUAUGACAGGGAAGUAAUCGUUGACCUCAGAAAGGUGAAGUCAGGAGACUUGUGACAGUUUUUAACAGUGGAUCAGUGGUAGAGAAAGCAGCUUCAAAUUCCUGGUCAUAAACUUCUCAGAUGACUUGUCCUGGGUUCAGAACGUGGAUGUAAUCAUGAAGAAAUGCCAGAGCCUCUACUUUUGUAGAAGUUUAAAGAGAUCUGGGUAUAACUCUAAGUACUCGAACAAACAUUUGCGGAUGUAUGUAGAACGUAUCCUGACUGGGUGCAUCGUGGUCAGGUAUGACAAUUUCAAUGCUCACGAAUGUGAGAGGCUGCAGAAAGUAGUGGACCCAUCCCUAUCCAUCACGGGCACAGCCUUCCCCUCCAUGGAAAGCCUAUGUAUGAUGUGUGGCCUCAAGAAGGCAGAAUCUGUCAUCAAGGAUCCCUACCGUCUGGGCUGUGCUCUCUUCUAACUGCAGCCAUCAGACAGGAAAGAUUGAAAGCUGAAGUCCCCACCACCAGGUUCAGUAACAGCUACUUCCCUGCAACUAUGAGGUUCUUGAACCAACCACUACAAUCCUAAUCCUACCUCGAUAAUGGAACAAGAUGAUCCACUUCUUGUACCACCAUGAACUUUAUUUUGCUUAUUUAUGCAUUUGCACUAAUGUCUUGCUUUCUGCACGGUCUUUGUUCAGAAAUGUGUGCAUCAUUUAUGUAUAAUUUAUUUUUGCGUGUUUGCUGCAAGCAAGAUUUUUCAUUGCACUUGUACCUCACCGUACUUGUGCAUAUGAUAAUAAACCUGACAAUUGAUUUAUUGCAGCCUUCUAUUUUGUGUGCUCUGCAGCAUACUCUUUAACUUCGAGAAGUCUGUUUUAUUUCAGUUCAUAUGAAUAUGGUUCUGAAUUUUAUUUUUCUCCAGACAUUAGUUAUCAAUCAUUGGUGAAAUAAUCUUGUGUAUUAUUCAACCCCUCUCCUUCUUUCCCCAUAUGUGUCCAUGCUAUGAAUUUUAGUUCAGGAUCUCUUUUUAUUGUUGAUGCUGCAUACAUUGAAGAACAUGCAUUUUGGAGGCAUUAAUAGUUUAUUUAAUUGGGAUUCAUGCUUAUAUUUUUAAAAAAAUCAAUGUGUUCCUCACCCUUUUUAUCACCUUGUUUCUUACAUUAAUUUAAUUUUAAACUAUCUAGUUUUCUUCAAAACCAUCCCCUUGUCGUACUUAAUGAAAUUAGUUGAAUGAAGAAACAACUACACUCAAGACAAUUUGCAUGUGGACAAUGCAUGAUCUAAACGAGGGAAUGUGUCUAUAGUCGCAUGUGCACAUAAUAUUUACAAGGUAGUUUUGUGCACUAAAUCAUUCCUGUGUCCACACAGCUUCAAAACAAAGGCACAACAUGCCAUUAGUCUGGGCUGAAUUAAUAAAAGUUCCCGAAUUAAAAGCUGCUGCUUUUAUUUAUUUGUUUCUCCUUUAUUUACCUUCUACUUUCUGAUUUGACUUCCCUUUUAUACUCUGCAACUUUUCAGCACUGAAAUGUUGGGCAAACACUCUGCUCUCAUUCCUCAGUCAAUUGAGUUUUGACACCGGGGCACUUGCAACCACUCAAGAGUGUUUCAGGAAAAUUUAUGCUCCAUUCUCAUCCCAGAAGCACUGUAUCCCACUUAACAUCAUUACCGAAAUAAGAAAUUUGUCAUGUGGGACUUUCUCGGAUCAAGUUAGUCCCUCACCUUUGUAGUGACGGUUCAGUUAAAUUAUUCUCAUUUAUUGCUCUUGGCCAUAAAAUGUAUGCUACAAGGUGCAUGCAGCACAUUGCCCAUUUAAAGCAAAUACAUUAACCCAUGUAUUAAGAUAACCAUCAGAGCAAUGCCACACAAGCAUAUUAAAUAUUCACUGUUAUUACCCCCAGAAGUAGUUACUGGAUUCUGAUGAAAAGGAAGCAUUGGCUAUUGGUCACAAUUCAUUUAUUUGUCACUAUGUGAGCAUGAUGAUUAUUCCACACUUCUGUACUUUUCCCUGAAAUAAUGUACACCCACAUCAGUUCACUGCAUUAUAUUUUGUCUCAGGAACACAUUUUUAGAAGGUUCACUCUUCUACUUUCUAAAGAUUUAGAAUCAACAUGAUGCUUUCAUUUCUGACGUUAGAAUUACAUAUGCAGCGAUGCAAUCACACAAGGAGAUGCAGACACUUGCAAAAAUGAGCUUUCGAUUCAAUAAGGCUCAAAAAUAUUGAUUUUUUUAAAGGCACCAGAGUAACAUACAAAGACCUCAUUAUAUCCUGGUCAAAUGCAUUAAUCUUAGCACACGAGUCAAUCACUUCAGGAGCAGACUGCAGCCACAAUUGUGCAGUGAAUAGGUGAGAACAAUGCUAGGCUGCUUAUUUUCAAUUUUUUAAUAUCAUUCAUACUUGAUAUUUUGUUAAGAAAGUUGAAUUUGAGGACGUGACUGAUUUAAUUGUUCAUUUUUUUCAGAAAAUAUAGCAGUCUAUGGAAAUGCCAGUAUUUAUCACCUUUUGCUAAUUGCUUUUUUGCUGCUUUCUUCAACUGCUGAUUGUGGUAUUUUCAUAGUAUUGUUGGGGAGGAAGUGCUAAUUUUAUGCACGAUUGUGAGUAUAUAUAUUUUUGGUGCUAUUCAUACCAUAUUACCAUCUGGUUUGGGAAUUGCUCUGCCCAGGACAAGAAUGCUCUGCAGAGAGCAGUGCGUUCGGCCGAAUGCACUAUGGGAACUUCACUCGCCCCCCUGCAGGAACUAUACAUCAGGAGGUGCAACUCCAGAGCCAAUAAAAUCAUGGGGGACCCCUUCCACCCAUAUAACGGACUGUUCCAGCUGCUACGGUCAGGCAAAUGCUUCCGUUGUCAUGCUGUGAGAACGGAAAGGUUGAGAAGGAGUUUCUUCCCAGAGGCCAUUCGGACUGUAAACUCCUAUCUCACCAGGGACUAACUUUACUGAACGUUUUUCCUUCCAAUAUUUAAUAUGUAAAAUAAUAUGUGUGUGUUUAUGAUUGUGUUUAUAGUUUGUUUGGUUGUUUGUUUGUUUGUCUUUUUGCACAAAGUCCGCGAGCAUUGCCAUUUUUCAUUUCACUGCACAUCUCGUAUGUGUAUGUGACGAAUAAACUUGACUUGACUUGAUAUGCCAAAUGUUUAAGGGAGAUAGUGAACGUGGCAUUGAAUGUAAGUGUGCAGAUCAUGAUCUCAGUGAUUGCCUUUUAAUAAUUUGAUCUAAUUGCUAUUAAAUUGGACUGCAAUGAUCCAGGUACAUCAUGUGUUGAACGUGAAUGGGAGAACCAGUAUUUAGCAGUACCUAUCUCUGUCUAUCCAUUCCUUCCUGUAUUCCCACAUCCUGCAUCAUUGCGGGUUUAACUAAAAGGAGAGAUAAGCCAAUUUGCCGAAGUUUGAUUUGAUUGUUGUAUAUCAUUGAUAUUUGAUAAUAAUUAAGAGGUCACAGUCGAUUAAAAUACAGUUAUAAUUUGUCGCAGGCGAGUUACUGAUGGGACUUUGUUGUACCUACAUGCAUGAUGGAGAAAGAAAUAGGCAAAUAGUUAAAGGAGAUAUUGGGGCAAAUAGCUCUAAACGGAAAAAAACAAGAACAAAUGGGUUUCCAGCUGCUGCUGUUCCCUUUCAUUUUAAUUGGAACAACAUGUGAACAUGCAUCACUUCCCCAAGGGUGUUCACAAAGAGAUCUGCCACAUGCUUCGGUGGCACAGUUGGGCAUGAACUACCUGGCCAGUGGCAGAGACUGCUCUUGUACUAUUUCUCUGCCUCUGGCUCUUUCCAGUCUCGUGAUAGAGAUUGUACUGUUUUUCAGUUUUCAGAACUCUACUAGAGUCAGGAGGUAAAACGUACUCAAGGAUUACUCAAAAUUCCUCAAGGAGAGCAGGCUUCAUUAUAUUUCUUCAGGCACAGAGCAGGAGGCAAAUUAUAGUGUCCCUGGAUUCAUGCUGUUCUAUUUACCAAUGCCCAUCUCCCCACUUUGCUGAAUUCUCCCCAACAAUAUCCUGGGGAAACGCAGCAGUAAUAUGUACCACCAACAAGAUGCAGUGAUGUAUUUUACCAAGACUUAGUCCACAGUAUUUCUUAAACGCAUUAUUUAAACUACCUUGAAGGAAAAGGGCAGCAGUGGCAUGACAACGGUAUCAUCCCCACAUUCCCUGCAAUCAUACACCACAAGCUAGCAAUGUUACAACAUUUUGAGAUUUUAAAAAUCAAGUCUUUAAUUUAUCCCAUCAGAUAAAGCAUAAAAAUAAGUAUAAUUUUUCAUAUCUUCAGUAUUAAAAAAGUUAUGGCCAUUUUCAUACUCGGAAAUUGGCAUCUUGUUCCCUAUUGCUUUUUCAUUGACUUAACACAAAAGCUGUGAUUGAGAACAUUUAAAGGCUGAUAACUUUCUUAAAAUUUAAGAGAACUGAAAGAAAUUUUCAAAUAUGAAACAAUCUUACUUAGAUGACUUGAAAUUAAAGCAUAUAAUUAGUUAGUUACCUAAUUGUAGCUAAUUACAAAAUUCAAUUACUAGAUCUAAACAUCUAUCCAUUUCUUAAGAAUAGAUUAACAUUUUUAAAUAGUCUAAGUGUCCAAAUAACAUUCACACAAUAAUACAGAAUAUAACAUAAUUUUAAAAUCUCAUUGUCAUGGGUUCAUAGGCCAAAUGGAAGGAAUUUAAUGUUUAAUACCUGUAAAUUAAUGGCCAUUUAAAUCAGCUUGCGAGUGGGUUUUACUGGAACGGGACCAUUUAGAACGUUCAGAUGUGGUGAAUUUAUACCCCCAUAUCUGCAGCAAAUACACUGCCGGUUCUUCGG